CCCUUCUGAAGAGAGGGCACCGCUGCCAGCAGUAUAGUCUCACCACUAUAAAACUCUUUUAUUAUUUUCUAGAUUUUUCAUUGCUGAGUGGCAUAACUAUAAAAAAGUUAAAACUUUCAACAACGGAUCUCUUGGCUCUAGCAUCGAUGAAGAACGCAGCGAAAUGCGAUAAGUAAUGUGAAUUGCAGAAUUCAGUGAAUCAUCGAAUCUUUGAACGCACAUUGCGCCUGGCAGUAUUCUGCCAGGCAUGCCUGUCCGAGCGUCAUUUCACCACUCAAGACUCUUUUGUUCUUGGCGUUGGAGGUCCUGUUCUCCCCUGAACAGGCCGCCGAAAUGUAUCGGCUGUUAUACUUGCCAACUCCCCUGUGUAGUAU
rnacentral:misc_RNA from 1 species